rnacentral:tRNA from 1 species
GCUAGUAUGGCGCAAUCGGUAGCGCAACAGCCUUGUAAUCUGUAGGUUGCCCGUUCGAGUCGGGCUACUAGCUCCA